GUGCUCACUUCAGCAGCACAUGCACUAAAAUUGGAACAAAACAGAGAAGAUUAGCAUGGCACCUGUGCAAGGAUGACAUGCAAAUUUCUGAAGCAUUCCAUAUUUUU